UACGUAGGGUGCGAGCGUUGUCCGGAUUUAUUGGGCGUAAAGGGCUCGUAGGCGGCGUGUCGCGUCGGGAGUGAAAGCCCGUUGCUUAACGGCGGGUUGGCUUUCGGUACGGGCAUGCUGGAGUGCGGCAGGGGAGACUGGAAUUCCUGGUGUAGCGGUGGAAUGCGUAGAGAUCCGGAAGAACACCGGUGGCGAAGGCGGCUCGCUGGGCAGUGGCUGACGCUGAGGCGCGACAGCGUGGGGAGCAAACAGG
rnacentral:rRNA from 1 species